AUUGAACGCUGGCGGCAGGCUUAACACAUGCAAGUCGAGCGGAGAUGAGGUGCUUGCACCUUAUCUUAGCGGCGGACGGGUGAGUAAUGCUUAGGAAUCUGCCUAUUAGUGGGGGACAACAUUCCGAAAGGAAUGCUAAUACCGCAUACGUCCUACGGGAGAAAGCAGGGGAUCUUCGGACCUUGCGCUAAUAGAUGAGCCUAAGUCGGAUUAGCUAGUUGGUGAGGUAAAGGCCUACCAAGGCGACGAUCCGUAGCGGGUCUGAGAGGAUGAUCCGCCACACUGGGAAUGAGACACGGCCCAGACUCCUACGGGAGGCAGCAGUGGGGAAUAUUGGACAAUGGGGGGAACCCUGAUCCAGCCAUGCCGCGUGUGUGAAGAAGGCCUUAUGGUUGUAAAGCACUUUAAGCGAGGAGGAGGCUACUGAGACUAAUACUCUUGGAUAGUGGACGUUACUCGCAGAAUAAGCACCGGCUAACUCUGUGCCAGCCGCCGCCGUAACAC
rnacentral:rRNA from 1 species